GGACGAGAAGCUUGCUUCUCUGAUGUUAGCGGCGGACGGGUGAGUAACACGUGGAUAACCUACCUAUAAGACUGGGACAACUUCGGGAAACCGGAGCUAAUACCGGAUAAUAUUUUGAACCGCAUGGUUCAAAAGUGAAAGACGGUCUUGCUGUCACUUAUAGAUGGAUCCGCGCUGCAUUAGCUAGUUGGUAAGGUAACGGCUUACCAAGGCAACGAUGCAUAGCCGACCUGAGAGGGUGAUCGGCCACACUGGAACUGAGACACGGUCCAGACUCCUACGGGAGGCAGCAGUAGGGAAUCUUCCGCAAUGGGCGAAAGCCUGACGGAGCAACGCCGCGUGAGUGAUGAAGGUCUUCGGAUCGUAAAACUCUGUUAUUAGGGAAGAACAUAUGUGUAAGUAACUGUGCACAUCUUGACGGUACCUAAUCAGAAAGCCACGGCUAACUACGUGCCAGCAGCCGCGGUAAUACGUAGGUGGCAAGCGUUAUCCGGAAUUAUUGGGCGUAAAGCGCGCGUAGGCGGUUUUUUAAGUCUGAUGUGAAAGCCCACGGCUCAACCGUGGAGGGUCAUUGGAAACUGGAAAACUUGAGUGCAGAAGAGGAAAGUGGAAUUCCAUGUGUAGCGGUGAAAUGCGCAGAGAUAUGGAGGAACACCAGUGGCGAAGGCGACUUUCUGGUCU
rnacentral:rRNA from 1 species